rnacentral:lncRNA from 1 species
UCCUGUUGAAAGAGGAGACGAUGUGGAAGACAAAGAUCCAGAAUUGAGUGACUUAAGUGUGGUGAUCGUAAUACCAACUAGUUUCACAGGAAAGCUUCUUGGAGAGCCAAGAAAAUAAAAUUGCUAUGUUGAAUAAACAAGAUGGUUCCUUCACAAUUAAGUUGGAUGAAAUGCACGUUUUCAUAAAUAUUUUCUUUCAACGGCUUUAUGCUCAUGACAGUAACUUGUGCAGCCUAAAAG